rnacentral:rRNA from 1 species
GACCUGGCCGGGUGGUCUUGCCGAAAGGUAAGCACUGCUUUUGGUCGGGUCUUUCCUUCUGGGGAACCAGCGUGCGCUUGAUUGAGUGCGUUGGGGAUCCAGGACUUUUACUUUGAAAAAAUUAGAGUGUUUAAAACAGGCUUAUGCUUGAAUAGAUUAGCAUGGAAUAACGGAAUAGGA